UCUGUUUUCCUCUGCUCUCUGCCUCGUUAGUCUCAUGUCUGUCACCUGUGUUGCUCCCGCCCUGCUCGUUAGUCCCUGUGUAUAUAUAUACACCUGGUGUUUCGGUCUUAUCUUUGCCCGGUCAUUGUUCAUGUUACCCCACAGUCUGUCGUGUGUGCUCUCUGCCUGUAACCAGCCUUGCUUGUCUUGUCUCCCUGUACCUUUGGAUUUCUGUUAGGAUCACCUUGUUUUUUGGACUCCGUUAACCAGCCACUCGAUCUGUUUACCUGUUUGGACUGCCUUCUCUGGAUCUGACACUUGCCUUCCUGAUUGUAAACCUUGCACCUUAUUGUUUAUAUCCUCUGUAUAUUUUGCAUUUCUUUUAUGUUUGGCAUGGUGCUACUUGUAUUUAUAGGCCUAUAUUUUCCUCGUAUGUGCAAAUCUUCCAGGCAAUAAACCUGAUUCACCAUCCUGUAA